CGGGUCUUCGGUGUGACGAGAGAACGCUUUAACCACAAGGCUACCCGACCUCCUCUACUCUUGUAAUACAUAACAUAAAGUACACAUCAUCAUGUAUCAACAUGCAUUUCAACACAUGCAAUUUGGGUGUACUAUAAAAUAUGUUUCAGAGUUACAUCAACACCCCGCAAUGACGUCAACACCCCAUGUUGACAGUUGGUCAUUCCCCUCACAGGUCUCCACUAGCGUUGCUGUAUUAUCUGCAGUAAUUACUUUUAUUGUCAUCAGUUUCACAAUCUCCAGGGUGAAAGUGACGAUGCCACAGAAAAAGAAUUGGGUUCUGUUAGGAAACUCCCCAGACACGGAGAGUCUAAUCGGCUCCCCAAAUUCAAAAGUGAUGGGUUGUAAUGCAUCCAUAAUUACUGAUGUAUAUCCUGUACCGUAAAAUUCAUCAUUAAUGAAGAAACCUGUUUGAAAACGUC